CCUACGGGGGGCAGCAGUGAGGAAUAUUGGUCAAUGGGCGCUAGCCUGAACCAGCCAAGUAGCGUGAAGGAUGACUGCUCUAUGGGUUGUAAACUUCUUUUAUAUGGGAAUAAAGUGCAGUAUGUAUACUGCUUUGCAUGUACCUUAUGAAUAAGGAUCGGCUAACUCCGUGCCAGCAGCCGCGGUAAUACGGAGGAUCCGUGCGUUAUCCGGAUUUAUUGGGUGUAACGGGAGCGUAGGCGGGUUGUUAAGUCAGUUGUGAAAGUUUGCGGCUCAACCGUAAAAUUGCAGUUGAUACUGGCAGCCUUGAGUACAGUAGAGGUAGGCGGAAUUCGUGGUGUAGCGGUGAAAUGCUUAGAUAUCACGAAGAACUCCGAUUGCGAAGGCAGCCUGCUGGACUGUAACUGACGCUGAUGCUCGAAAGUGUGGGUAUCAAACAGGAUUAGAUACCCUAGUAGUC
rnacentral:rRNA from 1 species